CCAGCCGGCCGGAUGGCCGCCGCGCUUCCCGCGCGGAGGAAAGUCCGGGCUCCACGGAGACACGGCGCCGGAUAACGUCCGGCGGGGGCGACCCCAGGGAAAGCGCCACAGAAAGCAAACCGCCGCGCGUCUCGCGCGGUAAGGGUGAAAGGGUGCGGUAAGAGCGCACCGCUCUCACGGCAACGCGAGAGGCAUGGCAAGCCCCGCCGGGAGCAAGACCGAAUAGGGGCGACCGAAGGCCUAAAAAACCUUCAACCCGUCUCCGGGCUGUCGCCCGGGUUGGUUGCUCGAGACGGCCGGCAACGGUCGUCCUAGAGGAAUGGCCAUCACGCGGGCGCAGGCGACUGCGUCCGCCAUACAGAACCCGGCUUAUAGGCCGGCUGGCGUU
rnacentral:RNase_P_RNA from 2 species